CUUCAGGUAGGAGACGUAACCGAGUAACGACAAUACUGCUAUCGAUCAUUCGGUGGUUGGACUGAAACUAGUGUUGUGGUUGUUGGUUUCCGCUGCGAGUUCUUUGGAAGUGUCCGGUAAUGGCGUGGCAAUUUUAUUAUUUUGGUCAGACGAGAAACUUUUGCUGCAGUUCGUCACGUCGUCCAGAAGGCAUUGUGGCCUAACUAUAGAUUUAUUCUUGAGGCAUAGGUUAAAGGAGAGUCGGCAGUAGUUGCCAGAGUAAUGUCUUCAUUUGCAUAAUCAGCGUCCUCUGGAGGUCUUCAGAGUUUCCACGGUUCAUAAAAAGUUAAAUGCGCCCACUGAUACUUUCAUUUAGCUCCGAAAGCAUGCAAAGAAAAAGUGCUUUUUGUGGGACCAAUUCAUGAGGACAACUUGCAUCAAAGACGUGACUAACCGAACGCAUUCUGCAGAUUGAAGCUAUCUAUGUCUAUGUUCUAAAACAGAGAGGAGAGGAGCCAGUCUGACCG